rnacentral:rRNA from 1 species
GCGCGCUACCUGCAGUCGACGGUAGCACAGAGAGCUUGCUCUCGGGUGACGAGUGGCGGACGGGUGAGUAAUGUCUGGGAAACUGCCUGAUGGAGGGGGAUAACUACUGGAAACGGUAGCUAAUACCGCAUAACGUCGCAAGACCAAAGAGGGGGACCUUCGGGCCUCUUGCCAUCAGAUGUGCCCAGAUGGGAUUAGCUAGUAGGUGGGGUAACGGCUCACCUAGGCGACGAUCCCUAGCUGGUCUGAGAGGAUGACCAGCCACACUGGAACUGAGACACGGUCCAGACUCCUACGGGAGGCAGCAGUGGGGAAUAUUGCACAAUGGGCGCAAGCCUGAUGCAGCCAUGCCGCGUGUAUGAAGAAGGCCUUCGGGUUGUAAAGUACUUUCAGCGGGGAGGAAGGCGAUAAGGUUAAUAACCUUGUCGAUUGACGUUACCCGCAGAAGAAGCACCGGCUAACUCCGUGCCAGCAGCCGCGGUAAUACGGAGGGUGCAAGCGUUAAUCGGAAUUACUGGGCGUAAAGCGCACGCAGGCGGUCUGUCAAGUCGGAUGUGAAAUCCCCGGGCUCAACCUGGGAACUGCAUUCGAAACUGGCAGGCUGGAGUCUUGUAGAGGGGGGUAGAAUUCCAGGUGUAGCGGUGAAAUGCGUAGAGAUCUGGAGGAAUACCGGUGGCGAA